CUCAGUUGGUAGAGUGCUUGUCUUGCAUGCACAAGGCCCUGGGUUCUAUCCCCAGCACCACAAAAAACAAAGUCGGGCUGGGGAUGUGGUACAGUGGUUAAGCAACCCUGGGUUCAAUCCCUGGUACUGGGGGGGAAAAUGCAAUGUAAUUAAUUCCUAGCAAGGGACUAGAUAAAUACACAUGGCAUAAAAGGCACAAAAGACUCGAUUCCAAUGUCCUGAAGGAAGUCAGAAAAAAACAUUUUUCCUUUCAGUUUUAUUUCUCUAGGCUCUAGACACUCUGGCCCCACAUGUACUUUUUUUUUUUUUUAAAGAGAGAGAG
rnacentral:lncRNA from 1 species